rnacentral:rRNA from 1 species
GAUGAACGCUGGCGGCGUGCCUAAUACAUGCAAGUCGAGCGAACAGACGAGGAGCUUGCUCCUCUGACGUUAGCGGCGGACGGGUGAGUAACACGUGGAUAACCUACCUAUAAGACUGGGAUAACUUCGGGAAACCGGAGCUAAUACCGGAUAAUAUAUUGAACCGCAUGGUUCAAUAGUGAAAGACGGUUUUGCUGUCACUUAUAGAUGGAUCCGCGUCGCAUUAGCUAGUUGGUAAGGUAACGGCUUACCAAGGCAACGAUGCGUAGCCGACCUGAGAGGGUGAUCGGCCACACUGGAACUGAGACACGGUCCAGACUCCUACGGGAGGCAGCAGUAGGGAAUCUUCCGCAAUGGGCGAAAGCCUGACGGAGCAACGCCGCGUGAGUGAUGAAGGUCUUCGGAUCGUAAAACUCUGUUAUUAGGGAAGAAAAAAUGUGUAAGUAACUAUGCACGUCUUGACGGUACCUAAUCAGAAAGCCACGGCUAACUACGUG